UUGACAGAACGAGGAGACAAAUGAUCAGAAGUCCAUUCACUGUUUCGCCGCUCAUGAGGGGGAGAGUCUCUGCAGCAAGUCCCGCGACCUGCUCUUGCCAGAUGCUUCGGACAGACUCUCGCCGUUCUGCUGAAAACGGCUGAUUUUUAUUGAAGAUUACAGGAAUGUUACAUACGUAGUUUGCCAUACACACACGUAAUUCUGCCAUCUGCACCUGCAGACGCACGUCAGCUAAUAGCCUUGUUAAUGAAAGACCAAUUCAUCCCAAGGACAUGCAACCUUGAGAUGAUCAGGACACAUCCUGCAACAUCCUUUGCUAACAAAGACAGUUGUUCUUGUAUUGAGGAACUGAAGGAAGGAACGCUUUCACUCCCUUAUGCAGCUGUUCAGCUUGAGCAGAAAAGGCACAGAGAGGUCUUUGAUAUUAUAACAAGAUUCCAUGAAAAGGCAUAUAAUAAUGUAUUUAUGAUAAUAUAUAAGGAGCAAAAGUGAGAGAUACAUAUUUAAUCAUAUAAAAGAGCUUAUAAUAAUAUAUGAAAGAGCUUAUAUGAGAGAUAUAUAUUUUCAAUCCCCCUUUUGAACUCUUUUAAGAGUUCAAUAAAGAUAUAAGAAAUCAAAACAAUAACACCAAAUUCCAUCAAAAAGAAUCCAAUAAGCAAAGUUUUAAAAUACCAAUACAAACAACCAAUCAGAUUACAUUUACUCAUCUUUCUAGCAGUAAACUAAUACAAAAAACAUGAUCAUACUUUCAACUGAACAUGUUACAACAUGUAUGGAUCGCAUGCAACUCCAUAUGAGGGCGAAAAACCCUAAUUAUCAUAUGUUUAUAGGGAAAAUUCCCCCAUGUCCCCCCAUUUGUCAUAUCUCAAUUUUGGGGCGAACACCUGUUGGCAUAGAGUGUGCAUGCCUAGGACAUCAAUGAUCAACAAAAAAUAAAACAAAACAAACAAAAAAAUCAUAAAAAUGAACUGGUGAAGGGAUGGUUACAUAAAUCACUGAACAUUCUCACACUCUAACAACAUCUUCUUCAUCAUGAGAGUCAUCACUAUCAUCAGAGAGUUCCCCUCCCAAAUAGAUGUUAGGAUUGGCUAGUAACAAGGGCAUCUGGAUAAUUGGGUCAGCAGGUGGAGGGUGUAAAAUAUUACCCUUGUAAAAUAAAUGAGGGUGUUAAAUACAACCCUUGUAGAAUGUUCAUAGGGUGGUUACUUCUUCCCCCUGUUGAGGACCCUUCACUGGCUCCAGGCAGCUGCAGGGGGUGAUGAUGUCAUGAUUCUCGUCCUGCAGGAUGUGGUGACAGCUUGGCAUGCUACUGCAGUCAGCUACUUCUCUUCCUGGUUUUUGGAUCCUUUCUCUGGUUAGGCAGAUGUCAGCUGCUUCUCUUCCAGGUUAGGCUCCUCCCGUCCAGCCGGACAGCGUGUGAUGUCCUCUCCGUGAUCCUGUAUGGCCCGGUCCACCUCGGUUCCGUCCACUUCCUUUUGGUGACUUUUAGCAGGACCCAGACGCCUGGCACCGAAGACGAAGCCUCUUCGUGUGUGUAGUUUUGGUCCAAUGAAGGCUUUCUCGGCUUGUGCAGUCCUUGAUCUCGGCAGAUAGUUGGUAGGAAGAUUCACACUCCGGCCGGACCAGAAGUUCCCCGGACCGAUCGCCUAGGGAUUAGAGGUUAUGCACAAAAAUGUCCUAGCUCUUACUGACCCUAGCCUCUGAUACCUUCAACAUCAGACACAUACAGUUACGAACAGCAAGCGCAAUUAAAGGUACAGUGACAUCACGACAUGGACACACACAGAGAGAGGGAGAGAGUAAGAAUGUGUGUGGGAGAAAGAAAUGAGUGGGAUCCACUUCGCCACCAGCAUCUCCACCUGUGUCACAGAGAAAAAUUACAAAGAAAUUAAAACACAAAGCAAACAACAAUAAUUCAAUGAGUAUAAAUGAUCAAACUAAAAUAUACAACCAUGCAUGGGUUUUAUAACAGUUCCGGCAACACUGGAGAGGAAGCCUUGUAUAAUGAAUUCUUAAGAUGUCCUUCAUCAAUUAGAGGUUAUAGCCAAAUUGUUUCAGGAUCCUGAAGUUGAAUUGGUCAAUUUACUCAGAAUAGCCCAAUGGCUUUGUUGAUGUUUCUCAAGGCUCAGCCACGCCCAUAUAGAUAAAUAAACAAACAAACAAGACAAACACAGUCAAACACACGGUCCAUACACGUCUCUGUGCCCUCACACACCAAGCAAAUGUCAGACUGAAGCGAAAGUGUGAAAUACUUAACCUAACGCUAAAUCAGUGGAAAGAAAAAAUAAGACCUAAGGCGUGUAAUCAAAUUAAUCCAACAAAACUUCCCAUAACUGCCGUUCUAAACUCAUGUUGCGGUGUGAUCUCUCCAAUUAAAAAUUAGGACAACCACUUUUACUAUCAAUUCAACCAAAUAGUUUCAGGUUGUCCCUUACCUAAACUACCUGUCUUUCUUACCUUCUUUCUUUCUUUCUUUCUUUCUUUUUUAGGAACACUACUCGCACAAGAAAUCCUAAGAAUUAAUUCACUACUUAAGGUUAAUUCAUAAAUAACGAAACUGCAGUUACAGGUUUGUUUGUGCAUAGUAUUGGUAAUCAGCAGUUUUUUUUUUCUUAUCUCCUCAUCUAGAAGUGUUUCUGUGCUACUCCUCCAUCUAUAACACAAGUUAGUAUCAUCCUUAAAGCAUCUGAAAUUAAGCUGCAUUGCUAAAUCAAUAACGUGAUUUGUGCUAAGAAAUACUCCCCUAUCGUCUUCCUUUUUCCAGUGGCGCUGAAUGACAGAUUUUAGAUCAAUUUAACGUUUUAUCACUAUUACGUUUCAUUUAAUUAAUUUUGCUUUUUCUCUCUUAUUUUUGUCUAUUUAUUUAUUUAUGUUAUUUACUUAUUUAUCAUGCCAUCCUGUGAUGAUAAUCUUAAAGACUUUUUAGCCAAUUGUCGUCAAAACGGCCAUUUAAAAAUAUUAUGUUAAAGAUUUCACAAGAUAAAAAUGUGAACAUAAUUUUUAUCGAAUGAGGGGUACAAUUAUUCAAUAUUUUUGUGACAUUAUUUUCUACGUUAGAACUUACAGCUGAUAGAAAAAUAUAGGAUCAGCUAGGUUUGGCUAGAUCUGUUGGGAAACUCAACGGAGCUGAAACAACACUGUUGUCUCGGAUGAGAUGUUCCAUGAAUCAUUUAGUCAGCUGGAUGCCAAAUUAUUCAUUUAAUGUUUAUUUUUAUGCAAUGAAUGGAAUGGGAUGGAACGUUACUAUAAACUAUCCGGAAAUUUGCGCAUGUUUGCUCGAAGGAGAGAACUGUUGAAGCCUAAAGCGUUCUCCUAGACUUAUAAAUAGACACCGUUUCCUUAACCAAUGAAAAUAAGUGAUGACGCUGAUGUAUUCCGUUUUGAAAAGAAAAUAAGGCUUUACUGCAUGUCCGCUGCAGCUGAGAAUCCUAAGACAAUAAAGAUUAUAUUGACGUCCAAUGAUGAGUUGGGCUGAAAUCCAGGUUACUAAUCCUAUUAUUUAUUUAUUUAUUGAUAUUAUUAUUAUCUUUUUUUAGGCUAACUUUCUCAGUUAACUAUGUUCUACAGUAGUUUAGUAAAUUUUCCACAGUUCUGACAUUUCAUCAAUUCAACUGGUUGUUGCCAAAAAGCCUUGUUCAUUACCUGACUGCAGCAAGCACUCUUUUACUGGGUGUAACCAUAGGAAACAGUCUCUUUUGAGCCUCUCUUUGUAAGUCCAGGAUGACCACCGUCAUUGAUUGAAGUUCACAUGUUAGCACACAUGCUCCCCCUUUUGUACUUUGUUUCAUCAGCAGCAGGGCAAAUAAGUUUCUGCCUCUUUGUCCAUCUUGUAGUGCUCCCCGUCUUGAUGUUAUGAGUCACAGUUUUUGGUGAGGGCUUCCAGGUUCUCUUUGUAUAGAAGUCAGAGCCAAACAUUCUUUGCAGCUGGUUGUGACAGGCCCACCCAGUAAAGUUCAUGCCUCCACAAUGCACAGCAAACGUUUUCCUUAAAUAUGUUGAUUGAGUUGAAAGGACAGAACUUUCUCUUUUACAAAUCAAAAUCAACGAAGGUUUCUAAUAUUUAGUCAACUUUAUUGACUCAAAGGUAAAUCUAGACUAUUUCCUAUGCACAAUUUUUCUGACUCGUCAAAUCAGUUCUACACAGGUUUUAAACAUUAGGCACAAUCUAUCCCAAAUGCAAGAUCCCUCCUUUCAUUUUUUAUUUAUCUAUUUUAUUUUGGGAAAAUAACUACCAGUUUUUUACUCAAAACAGCCUAGUACAGUUUCUAGCCAGGUUACAGGAAAUAAUACUUAGUUUAUCUGUUUUUUCAUUAUUCAGCGUCCCAAAAUCCAGCCAUUAACGUUAAUGGUUCUUAAAGUUGAGGUAAGACAAUUAUUGGAUUUUGUUUUAUAGCAAGAUUUAACAAAUAUUUUAUUUCCUGACUGAUUAUUUGUUAAUUUUAUGGUUUUCAUAAAGAUGAUCCUGAGAGGUUCAGAGCUGCUUUUCGCAGUACCCUGUGCUAUUUUUAGACUGCGGGACUCCUGUGUGUAAAAGUGGGUGGAGUCAGGUCCCCAGGCUGAAAAUCCAGUCAUUCUCACUAGAUCUGUCCGAGAGGAAGGAUCUCCUGAAUACCCUAACCAGAAGCCUUAAGUCUCUCGAACUAAAUAACCGUCUAGUAAAAACAUGGACCGCACCCUGUUUCUCAAGCAGCUGCUCCCUCUAUUAAAAACUGCGUCAUUCAGAAGAUCCAGCGAAAGCAGCUCAUGCAAGAAGACACACAUUCACUCAUUCACAAGGCACAGAGACAUUCUUUGUUUGUCACAGUCUCUUUUUAUUAUUAUUAUUAUUUUUUUAAGGUAAGUCAGUUCGUCACUUAUUUAUUCUCUCUCUAUAUAUAUAUAAUAUUUUAAGCACAGAAUUUAUUUAACACUGCACUGGUUAUUUUCAGAAUUUAAUGCUUACUAUGCUUUUAAGCAGGCCUUAUGUAACAUUAGAGCAAAUCCAAUUGCAAUUUUUUUGAGAGCGCUCUGAGGAAUAGUUUAUAUAUUUAUUUUCUGCAGAUCUGUUUUGAUUUUACUGUUUAGCAGCUAUAUGACUAUAUUUCUAAAAUAAAGCUGUCAUUUACAUCCUUA